AGUUUGAUCCUGGCUCAGGACGAACGCUGGCGGCGUGCUUAACACAUGCAAGUCGAACGGUUCAGAAGAGCUUGCUCUUUUGAUCAGUGGCGAACGGGUGAGUAACACGUGAGCAACCUACCCUUGACUCUGGGAUAACAGUUGGAAACAGCUGCUAAUACCGGAUACGACCUCGGCCGACAUCUGCUGAGGUGGAAAGUUCUGGCGGUCAAGGAUGGGCUCGCGGCCUAUCAGCUAGUUGGUGAGGUAACGGCUCACCAAGGCUUCGACGGGUAGCCGGCCUGAGAGGGCGACCGGCCACACUGGGACUGAGAUACGGCCCAGACUCCUACGGGAGGCAGCAGUGGGGAAUAUUGCACAAUGGGCGAAAGCCUGAUGCAGCAACGCCGCGUGCGGGAUGACGGCCUUCGGGUUGUAAACCGCUUUCAGCUCCGACGAAGCGCAAGUGACGGUAGGAGCAGAAGAAGGACCGGCCAACUACGUGCCAGCAGCCGCGGUGAUACGUAGGGUCCGAGCGUUGUCCGGAAUUAUUGGGCGUAAAGGGCUUGUAGGCGGUUUGUCACGUCGGAAGUGAAAACUCAGGGCUCAACCCUGAGCCUGCUUCCGAUACGGGCAAACUAGAGGAAUGCAGGGGAGAAUGGAAUUCCUGGUGGAGCGGUGGAAUGCGCAGAUAUCAGGAGGAACACCAGUGGCGAAGGCGGUUCUCUGGGCAUUUCCUGACGCUGAGAAGCGAAAGCGUGGGGAGCAAACAGGCUUAGAUACCCUGGUAGUCCACGCCGUAAACGGUGGGCACUAGGUGUGGGACUCAUUCCACGAGUUCCGUGCCGUAGCUAACGCAUUAAGUGCCCCGCCUGGGGAGUACG
rnacentral:rRNA from 1 species